rnacentral:lncRNA from 1 species
CAUGAGAAAAUAUAAUGUUAUUUUUACAAUAUUUAUUUGUUCAACUUCUUCCUCAGGUCUUGUAACUGUAACUAAUUAAAUUUUAAAAGUAAAUUCCCAAGCUCUGGACAUUCCUGCUUCACCACUGAAUGAGGAAACAUCCCCUCUAAUUAUACAAGCAACUGAACAAAGUUACACUUCAAAGGGGCUCCUGCUGGCAGCAGUCCCAUUCUUUGGCGUCCUCCUUCAAUGGCCUGAAGUCCAAUUAGACUUCACCUCAGGAAACAUAAGAACACAGUCAAAGUACAUGGGCCCUAUUACAAUUUCUUCUUCCGUGGCGCUGUGGGCUAAACCGCAGAAGCCUGUGCUGCAGGAUCAGAAGA